rnacentral:lncRNA from 1 species
GCUGAACCAACAGAUCCCGGCGAGCCAUCACGUCCUGCACCUGGCUACGGAGAAAGAACACCUCGCCAAUCAACCUCCAGUGAGCAUCCACCAAUGCAUCAUGAUUAGAUACGGCUUUAGCACCCGAUUAAGAGGUGGAAGAUAAACCAUUAACCGAUGAAGUAGCCCUCGCCAAUCUUGGCGGAGGGGUAUAAAAAGGACACAUUUUCCGUGUUUUAGCCUUCUGGUGCUCAUCAUAGAUGGCGGACACCCAGAGCCUCACCACGUUCCCCGUGAGAAAGCAACGUAAGAAAAAAGAAGAUGGAGUCCUAUCAUGUGAAAACUAAAAGGGGAGGGCUUACCCCAAAUACGGCUGUGAUGCAAGGCCUCCUUGCUUACCAGAAAAGUCACCCAUCAGAAUCGCAGGGGAACUCCCAUUAUAAGCUUCGCUACUGCUUCUCCAGCAAAGGAAACCGGACGAGAUACAUCUGAUGGCAAAAAACCAAGCAUCACUAAGAACGAGGUCCCAAAGGGACGAUAAACUCAAGGCUUGAAUAAAAGAGAAGAGCUUACCGACGGUACGCCAGGACGUAGGAUAUCCAAAGGGCUCCUGGAUCUUCACGAAUGCAU